rnacentral:rRNA from 1 species
AACGAACGCUGGCGGCAGGCCUAACACAUGCAAGUCGAACGGGCGUAGCAAUACGUUAGUGGCGCACGGGAGAGUAACGCGUGGGAACCUACCUUUUGGUUCGGAAUAACGUCGGGAAACUGACGCUAAUACCGGAUAAGCCCUACGGGGGAAAGAUUUAUCGCCGAAAGAUGGGCCCGCGUUAGAUUAGCUAGUUGGUGAGGUAAUGGCUCACCAAGGCUACGAUCUAUAGCUGGUCUGAGAGGAUGACCAGCCUCACUGGGACUGAGACACGGCCCAGACUCCUACGGGAGGCAGCAGUGGGGAAUAUUGGACAAUGGGGGCAACCCUGAUCCAGCCAUGCCGCGUGAAUGAUGAAGGCCUUCGGGUUGUAAAGUUCUUUUGGUGGGGACGAUGAUGACGGUACCCACAGAAUAAGCUCCGGCUAACUUCGUGCCAGCCGCCGCCGUAA